AUUGAACGCUGGCGGAAUGCUUUACACAUGCAAGUCGAACGGCAGCACGGACUUCGGUCUGGUGGCGAGUGGCGAACGGGUGAGUAAUGUAUCGGAACGUGCCCAGUCGUGGGGGAUAACGUAGUGAAAAUUACGCUAAUACCGCAUACGAUCUAUGGAUGAAAGCGGGGGAUCGCAAGAACUCGCGCGAUUGGAGAGGCCGAUAUCAGAUUAGGUAGUUGGUGGGGUAAAGGCCCACCAAGACAACGAGCUGUAGCUGGUCUGAGAGGACGACCAGCCACACUGGAACUGAGACACGGUACAGACUCCUACGGGAGGAAGCAGUGGGGAAUUUUGGACAAUGGGCGAAAGCCUGAUCCAGCCAUUCCGCGUGCAGGAUGAAGGCCCUCGGGUUGUAAACUGCUUUUGUACAGAACGAAAAGGUUUCUACUAAUACUAGGAGCUCAUGACGGUACUGUAAGAAUAAGCACCGGCUAACUACGUGCCAGCCGCCGCGGUAA
rnacentral:rRNA from 1 species